ACUACGGGGCGCAGCAGUGAGGAAUCUUUGUCAAUGGACGAGAGUCUGAACCAGCCAAGUAGCGUGAAGGAUGACUGCCCUAUGGGUUGUAAACUUCUUUUAUAUGGGAAUAAAAUGUUCCACGUGUGGGAUUUUGUAUGUACCAUAUGAAUAAGGUUCGGCUAACUCCGUGCCAGCAGCCGCGGUAAUACGGAGGAUCCGAGCGUUAUCCGGAUUUAUUGGGUUUAUAGGGAGCGUAGGUUGUUUGUUAAGUCAGUUGUGAAAGUUUGCGGCUCAACCGUAAAAUUGCAGUUGAAACUGGCAGUCUAGAGUACAGUAGAGGUGGGCGGAAUUCGUGGUGUAGCGGUGAAAUGCUUAGAUAUCGCGAAGAACUCCGAUUGCGAAGGCAGCUCACUGGACUGCAACUGACACUGAGGCACGAAGGUGAGGGUAUCAAACAGGAUUAGAUACCCCUGUAGUC
rnacentral:rRNA from 1 species